UACGAAGGGUGCAAACGUUGCUCGGAAUUAUUGGGCGUAAAGCGCACGUAGGCGGCUUGGCAAGUCGGAUGUGAAAUCCCUCGGCUCAACCAAGGAAGUGCAUCCGAAACUGCCGAGCUUGAGUACUUAAGAGGAUCGCGGAAUUCCCGGUGUAGAGGUGAAAUUCGUAGAUAUCGGGAGGAACACCAGCGGCGAAGGCGGCGUCCUGGACUGGUACUGACGCUCAGGAGCGAAAGCGUGGGGAGCGAUCCGG
rnacentral:rRNA from 1 species